CGUGCACGCUGGCGGUAGGCCUAACACAUGCAAGUCGAACGGCAGCACAGUAAGAGCUUGCUCUUACGGGUGGAGAGUGGCGGACGGGUGAGGAAUACAUCGGAAUCUACUUUUUCGUGGGGGAUAACGUAGGGAAACUUACGCUAAUACCGCAUACGACCUACGGGUGAAAGCAGGGGAUCUUCGGACCUUGCGCGAUUGAAUGAGCCGAUGUCGGAUUAGCUAGUUGGCGGGGUAAAGGCCCACCAAGGCGACGAUCCGUAGCUGGUCUGAGAGGAUGAUCAGCCACACUGGAACUGAGACACGGUCCAGACUCCUACGGGAGGCAGCAGUGGGGAAUAUUGGACAAUGGGCGCAAGCCUGAUCCAGCCAUACCGCGUGGGUGAAGAAGGCCUUCGGGUUGUUAAGCCCUUUUGUUGUGAAAGAAAAGCAGCAGGUUAAUACCCCGCUGUUCUGACGGUACCCAAAGAAUAAGCACCGGCUAACUUCGUG
rnacentral:rRNA from 1 species